CAUCUAUUCAACUGGUCAGGAGAACCACCAUGAUCAGAUGAGAAGAGAAUGAGCCAUGUGUUUCCUGAAACAUCCAGUGGCCUCACCGGAGAAUCUGCAAGAGCCGGUAAACCCAGAAGCUUGGCCGUCCAUUCCUGGAAGCAGACAUUGUGUCUUCGUCCACCAAGCCCCUGGCUCUCAACACUCACUGUGGUGGCAAGAACAUGGCACCUUGACCCUACACAGUUCUUCCAUUUUUCAGAAGCAGGUGAGCACAGAUUGCUGGGAUGGAGUGAGUAAAAGAUAUAAACUGGACUGGGCACGGUUGCUCGCACCUGUAAUCCCAGCACUUUGGGAGGCCGAAGCGGGCGGAUCGCUUGAGCUCAGGAGUUCGAGAUUAGUCUAGGCAACAUAGUGAGAAGCUAUCUUAAAAAAAAUUUAAAUAAAAGUUAUAAACCAAGGCUUGGGGUUUCUGGGUGCUUUGCCAGGACCUGUUCUUGGGCAGAACUGAAUAUAUACUCAAUUCUGAGGAGGGAAGAGGAAGGUCAUGGCUAAAAGGUAGGCUCUGAAAUCAGACUCCCGGAGCUCAAAUCCCAGCACUCUCUGCUUGCCACUUAGACUUCAGGUAGGGGAGGGGGAUAUAAAUGUUUGAGCCUCAGUCCCCUCCUCUGUAAAAUGGGGGCAGUAAAUGUACUGCACACAGCUGCAAGGUGUGAAUGAGGCGAUGCACGUAAAACACAGUGCCUAUAGUAUCACAUUGGGGUUUUUUGGUGUUUUUUGUUUUUGUUUUUGUUUUUUUGACAGAGGGUCUCACUCUGUCACCCAGGCUGGAGUGCAAUGGAGUGAUCUCAGCUCACUGCAGCCUUGACCUCCUGGGCUCAACCACUUUUCCCACCUCUGCCUUCAAAGUAGCUGGGACUAUAGCCAUGUGCUACCACGCCCAGCUAAUUUUUGCAUUUUUUUGUAGAGAUGGGGUUUCACCAUAUUGCCCAGGCUGGUCUAGAACUCCUGAGCUCGAGUGAUCCACCCGCCUCGACCUCCCAAAGUGCUGGGAUUACAGACGUGUGCCACCAUGCUCAGCCCCACACUCGUCUUUAAGAAAAUUAAAAUAAAAUUGUUUUAAACACAGUGUCUGGCACAGAAUAGAUGCUCAAUAAACACCAGCUGCUACAAUUAGAGGGGAAAUCAUCAUAAUUGUUGGAUUAAAACAUAAUAAAAGACCCCAGUUGCCUUGUUCAAGGCAGUAUUUUCAGAAGCAAAGUUUUAAAAGUUUAAAAAGAGGUCAGUAUUUUAAGUCAUGUCAGCUCCACAGCCACGGAAGUGCUGGAAAGGCACCAAGCCUCCUCUCGGUUUGCAGUGAAACGCUCCUCUUCCGUCUGAGGGCUAUCGUUCCAGCAGAGAUCAACACAAUGGACUCUGGGAUGGACAUUGUUCUCCAACAGGCCUGGCCCUGGCCCAGCUGGGCUCCAGACCCUUGUCCCCAGGUUUUGACCCCACCCAGACCUUUGCCUGGGACGGAAAGCUGCUUCAUUUCAGGAGACACCUGAAGUACC
rnacentral:lncRNA from 1 species